rnacentral:rRNA from 1 species
GCGCACGCUGGCGGCAGGCCUCACACAUGCCAGUCGCACGAACCUUUCGGGGUUAGUGGCGGACGGGUGAGUAACACGUGGGAACGUGCCUUUAGGUUCGGAAUAACUCAGGGAAACUUGUGCUAAUACCGAAUGUGCCCUUCGGGGGAAAGAUUAAUCGCCUUUAGAGCGGCCCGCGUCUGAUUAGCUAGUUGGUUGAGGUAAUGGCUCACCAAGGCGACGAUCAGUAGCUGGUCUGAGAGGAUGAUCAGCCACAUUGGGACUGAGACACGGCCCAAACUCCUACGGGAGGCAGCAGUGGGGAAUCUUGCGCAAUGGGCGAAAGCCUGACGCAGCCAUGCCGCGUGAAUGAUGAAGGUCUUAGGAUUGUAAAAUUCUUUCACCGGGGACGAUAAUGACGGUACCCGGAGAAGAAGCCCCGGCUAACUUCGUG